rnacentral:lncRNA from 1 species
AUUUUUUUCCUCACAUUUUUCUUUUGUCACACUUUCUUUCUCAUAUUUUUCUCUCUAUCCACUUUCUUCUCCUAUAUCAAAGAGAGUAGUAAUGUUUUUCUUCAUUUGGUUUAAAGUGAAAUAAGAAAGGGAGCAUACAAUUUUGUGGGACCCAGGCCCAAAAUCAUUCUCAAUAUGAAUGCAAAAAAAGUAGACAGGAGACCAGAAUUGUUGGGCAAUGACAAAAAUAUCAUGUGUCUUGUUUUCUUACAUAUACUAGUAGCCAAUAAAUUAAUUGAUGUCAUCGAUAAAGGAUUGACAAAUGCAUUACAAUGUGCUAGUUUUAAUAUUUUACAUAGUAAUAUUUAAUUUAAAAUAAAUUUAUUAUGUUGAGAAGAUAUUUCAUCAUUUAGUUGCAUAAGAAUUUAUAAUUAUUUAAUCAGUAAUAAAACACUUCUUUAUAUUCUUGUUAUUGUAUGAUAUUUUUGUUGUUUUUAUAAUCAUUUAGUUGCGGUACGGGGAGCUGCACUACAAGUUUGGAGAGCUAGACUCUUGGUAACAUCGUCAAGGAUACUCAGAAGGUCUAUGCUGUAGGGGAGCAGUUAAAGAGAAUCAGACAUUGAGCAAGGUGGAGUUAUAUAUUCACUAAGGUGGAAAUUCUUGUGUAGAUUUCCUAAUGAGCGAUAUAUUUGUCUAUUUCAAUCAAGGUGGAGAUUGUUGGGGAUGUUUGAAAUAUAUUAUUAUAUGAAGUCCCAUAUUGUCUAGCAUUAGAAUAGAGUAGAAUAUCAAUGUUAUAUAUUGGACACAAGUCCCUUGUUGUAAUGUGCACCAGAUAUAAACACUGAAUAGAAAUACAUCAUGGGCAGGUGGGCCCAUGGGUGUGAUAGAGUUUGUAAUCCUUAUUUUUUUAAUAAUAUCAUGGUAGUCGCUCAGCGCUCCCAGAGACG